GAUGAAGAACGUAGCGAAAUGCGAUAAGUAAUGUGAAUUGCAGAAUUCAGUGAAUCAUCGAAUCUUUGAACGCACAUUGCGCCCCUUGGUAUUCCGAGGGGCAUGCCUGUUCGAGCGUCAUUACACCACUCAAGCUAUGCUUGGUAUUGGGCGUCGUCCUUAGUUGGGCGCGCCUUAAAGACCUCGGCGAGGCCACUCCGGCUUUAGGCGUAGUAGAAUUUAUUCGAACGUCUGUCAAAGGAGAGGAACUCUGCCGACUGAAACCUUUAUUUUUCUAGGUUGACCUCGGAUCAGGUAGGGAUACCCGCUGAACUUAAGCAUAUCAAUAAGCGGAGA
rnacentral:misc_RNA from 1 species